GUGAGGGCGGUGGACGGUUCUUGGGCUGCCCGAGGCUGGCGGAAAGACGGCCACGGUGGCGCCUGCGCGCCCUGCUAGCCGAGUUGCCGCCCGCCAUUUUUGGAGCUUUUCUGAGACCUGGGAGGGAGACCCGCCCCCGGCCGGUUCACUAAGGCUCCUCCUCAAGUCGCGAGACUGGCGCUUUCUUGCAGCCGUAUCUGACUUGUCCUGUCUCCACACCACGUCCGGGAAGCGCUCUGCGGAAAUCGGGAGUGAAGAAUCGCACAUUUCCCAGGAUCCUCUGCUUUUGUGAAAUUCUUAAUCAAAAUUCCAAAGUUCUUGGCAAAGAUUUUCAAAUACCACAAUUUUCAAGAACAGCUUCAAGCCAUUUUGUAUGAGCAAAAUAUUAAAAAGGAUAUCUGACACUAGUGCUGACUCAUCAAAGUAACAGCCAAUUUCAGGGCUAAGGAGAGUGCCAAGAUUGGAUUUUCUUCUCUACAAAAUUUCUGUCAGAACCACUAGAAAGUCACUCGAAGGGACCAACAGGCAAAAAAAGGAGUCACCAUUCUGGCAUAAGAAGGUUGUACACAGAGGCAUGGAGGAAUAUGUUUGGCAUUCAGAGAGACAGAGCAUGAGAGGCAGAGGGGC